rnacentral:rRNA from 1 species
GUGCCAGCCGCCGCGGUAAUACGGAUGGUGCGAGCGUUGUUCGGAAUUACUGGGCGUAAAGGGCGCGUAGGCGGCAUUGUAAGUCAGAUGUGAAAGUCCAGGGCUCAACUCUGGAAGUGCAUCUGAAACUGCAAAGCUUGAGUAUUGGAGAGGAAAGUGGAAUUCCCGGUGUAGAGGUGAAAUUCGUAGAGAUCGGGAGGAAUACCGGAGGCGAAGGCGACUUUCUGGACAAAUACUGACGCUGAGGCGCGAAAGCGUGGGGAGCAAACAGGAUUAGAAACCCUGGUAGUCC